CGGGACGGGUGAGUAAUGUCGGGGAAACUGCCCGAUGGAGGGGGAUAACUACUGGAAACGGUAGCUAAUACCGCAUAACGUCGCAAGACCAAAGAGGGGACCUUCGGGCCUCUUGCCAUCGGAUGUGCCCAGAUGGGAUUAGCUAGUAGGUGGGGUAACGGCUCACCUAGGCGACGAUCCCUAGCUGGUCUGAGAGGAUGACCAGCCACACUGGAACUGAGACACGGUCCAG
rnacentral:rRNA from 1 species